rnacentral:rRNA from 1 species
GACCUGCACAAGUGGUGGAACAUGCGGUUUAAUUCGAUGCUACGCGAAGAACCUUACCAACUCUUGACAUGGUGGUCGCGAGAUACAGAAAUGUAUCUUUUCAGUUCGGCUGGACCACACACAGGUGUUGCAUGGCCGUCGUCAGCUCGUGUUGUGAGAUGUUAGGUUAAGUCCUGCAACGAGCGCAACCCCUAUCCUUAUUUGCCAGCGGGUUAAGCCGGGAACUAUAAGGAAACUGCCAGCGACAAGCUGGAGGAAGGUGGGGAUGAAGUCAGGUCAGCAUGGCCCUUAUGGGUUGGGCUACACGCGUGUUACAAUGAUAAUUACAAAGGGAAGCGAGAGAGCGAUCUGGAGCGAAUCCCAAAAAAGUUAUCUUAGUUCGGAUUGCACCCUGCAACUCGGGUGCAUGAAGUUGGAAUCACUAGUAA